rnacentral:rRNA from 1 species
AUUGAACGCUGGCGGCAGGCCUAACACAUGCAAGUCGAGCGGAUGAAGGGAGCUUGCUCCUGGAUUCAGCGGCGGACGGGUGAGUAAUGCCUAGGAAUCUGCCUGGUAGUGGGGGAUAACGUCCGGAAACGGGCGCUAAUACCGCAUACGUCCUGAGGGAGAAAGUGGGGGAUCUUCGGACCUCACGCUAUCAGAUGAGCCUAGGUCGGAUUAGCUAGUUGGUGGGGUAAAGGCCUACCAAGGCGACGAUCCGUAACUGGUCUGAGAGGAUGAUCAGUCACACUGGAACUGAGACACGGUCCAGACUCCUACGGGAGGCAGCAGUGGGGAAUAUUGGUCAAUGGGCGAAAGCCUGAUCCAGCCAUGCCGCGUGUGUGAAGAAGGUCUUCGGAUUGUAAAGCACUUUAAGUUGGGAGGAAGGGCAGUAAGUUAAUACCUUGCUGUUUUGACGUUACCAACAGAAUAAGCACCGGCUAACUUCGU